GAUGAACGCUGGCGGCGUGCCUAAUACAUGCAAGUCGAGCGAACGGACGAGAAGCUUGCUUCUCUGAUGUUAGCGGCGGACGGGUGAGUAACACGUGGAUAACCUCCCUAUAAGACUGGGAUAACUUCGGGAAACCGGCGCUAAUACCGGAUAAUAUUUUGAACCGCAUGGGUCAAAAGUGAAAGACGGUCUUGCUGUCACUUAUAGAUGGAUCCGCGCUGCAUUAGCUAGUUGGUAAGGUAACGGCUUACCAAGGCAACGAUGCAUAGCCGACCUGAGAGGGUGAUCGGCCACACUGGAACUGAGACACGGUCCAGACUCCUACGGGAGGCAGCAGUAUGGAAUCUUCCGCAAUGGGCGAAAGCCUGACGGAGCAACGCCGCGUGAGUGAUGAAGGUCUUCGGAUCGUAAAACUCUGUUAUUAGGGAAGAACAUAUGUGUAAGUAACUGUGCACAUCUUGACGGUACCUAAUCAGAAAGCCACGGCUAACUACGUG
rnacentral:rRNA from 1 species